rnacentral:rRNA from 1 species
GCUCAGUCCUAAACCUAAGUAGUUAUUUCAACAAUGCUACUCGCCAGAGUACUACUAGCAACAGCUUAAAACUCAAAGGACUUGGCGGUGCUUUAUAUCCCUCUAGAGGAGCCUGUUCUGUAAUCGAUAAACCCCGAUAAACCUCACCAGCCCUUGCUAAUGCAGCCUAUAUACCGCCAUCUUCAGCGAACCCUAAGAAGGAAUCACAGUAAGCCAAACCAUACAACAUAAAAACGUUAGGUCAAGGUGUAGCCCAUGAGCUGGGAAGAAAUGGGCUACAUUUUCUAAUAUAGAACAUAACGAAACUUUUCGUGAAACCGAAAACGGAAGGAGGAUUUAGUAGUAAAUUAAGAAUAGAGAGCUUAAUUGAAUAAGGCCAUGAAGCACGC